rnacentral:rRNA from 1 species
AACGAACGCUGGCGGCAUGCCUAACACAUGCAAGUCGAACGAGACCUUCGGGUCUAGUGGCGCACGGGUGUGUAACGCGUGGGAACCUGCCCUUAGGUUCGGAAUAACUCCCCGAAAGGGGUGCUAAUACCGGAUAAUGUCUUCGGACCAAAGAUUUAUCGCCUUUGGAUGGGCCCGCGUUGGAUUAGCUAGUUGGUAGGGUAAAAGCCUACCAAGGCGACGAUCCAUAGCUGGUCUGAGAGGAUGAUCAGCCACACUGGGACUGAGACACGGCCCAGACUCCUACGGGAGGCAGCAGUGGGGAAUAUUGGACAAUGGGCGAAAGCCUGAUCCAGCAAUGCCGCGUGAGUGGUGAAGGCCUUAGGGUUGUAAAGCUCUUUUACCCGGGAUGAUAAUGACAGUACCGGGAGAAUAAGCUCCGGCUAACUCCGUG